GGUCGGGCAGUCUGUCUAGAGUCCCCAGCAUGGCCUCUGGGAAAGGACGAGGAGCACCUGCGAUCCCCUUAGCCAGUGGCUUUACACAUCCCCAACCUAGGACAGGGCUCCAUCCACCCUUUGCACUUCACAUUCAAUACACUCUUCAUGACUGAUUCUAUCCAGUUUCAUUACAUCCAUCCAUUCUUCAUACCAUAAACAAAAAUUAAUUCAAAUGGAUCAUAGAUGUACAUAUAAACUAUAUGGAAAACAAAACAAUAAAACUUCCUAGAGAGAGAAUAGGAGAAAAUAUUUGUGAUCUUAUUUAGGCAAAGACUCCUCAGGUGCAACACCAGAAGCAUGAUGUAGAAAAGAAAAAUUGAGAAAUUGAAGUUCAGAGAGAUAAAACAUAUGUUCUUCAAAAGACAUUGUUGAAGCCACACACUGGAAGAAAACAUUUGCAAAACAUGUAUCCGGUAAAGGAUUUGUAUCAGGAAUGCAUAAAUAACUCUCAAAAGGUAAAAAUAAGAAAACAACUUAAUUUUUUAAGUAGGCAAAGAAUUUGAAAAAGAAUCUCCCAGAGAAUAAGGUAAACAGAUCCCCAAAGAGGAUACACUAACAUCAAAUAAGCCACAUCAUUAGACAUUAGGAAAAUAAAAAUUAAAACCACGGUGAGAAUCUAGUAUAUUCCUAUUAGAAUGGCUGAAAUUGGAGGACCUGGGUGGCUCAGUCAGUCAAGCAUCUGACUUAUCAGUCAAGUAUCCGACUUUGUCUCAGGUCAUGAUCUCACAGUUUGUGAGUUCAAGCCCCCCGCAUCUGCAUCCGGUUUGCUGCUGUCAGCACAGAGCCCACUUGAGAUCCUCUGCCCCCCUCACUCUGUGACCCUCUGUCUCUCUCUCUCUCUCUCAAAAAUAAAAACAGUAAUAAAAGAAUGGCUACAAUUAAAAGCAAAAACAAAAUAAAACCCUGAAUAUUCACUCUCAAUAAUUUUGGGUAUCUCUAGUAUUUUGCUGACUCAGAUUUUAAUCUCCCAUUUAGACCUCCCCUUCAGCCUCCUAUAUUUAACUUUCUGCUGGAAAUCACCUAGAUAACCCAGAGACAUAUCACAUUCAAAGCUGAAUCCAUCUUCUUCCCUUUCAACUUGGCUUUCCUUCUGUAUUAUCUACUUUGGAUGGAAGGCAUUAUCAACUACAGACUUAUGCAAGCCAGACACGUGGAAGUUACCCCCCAUUCAGUCUAACAUAUCUGCCUCUCUUGGUAGAAACCUUACCUACUGUCGCAGUCUUUCUUUAGGUCUUCAUGUCACUCCUGCAGCUGGUCACCAUGUCUCCCGCACAUUCAUACUUCUAGGAGCCAGAGAGAUCUAGCUAGGAUACAAUCUGAAAAUGUCAUUCCCUUCUAAAAGUCCUUUUGAGGCCAAGAAAAAGUCCAGGCUCUUCAAAAUAUCCCACAGGAUCAUCCCUGGAAUGACCUCUGCCUACCUCUCUCUAGCCUCAUGUCUCUCCACUCCAUACCACGAGCUUUUACUCUGGCACUACUCUUCUGUGCCCACAACAUUCUCCCUUUGUGCCUCUGUGACUUUAGUCAGGCUGCCACCUCUGCAUUGAAUAUUCUCUCCCAUUCUCUCCUAUCUAGGCCACUGCUCACUCUUUAAGACUAAGUUUAGGAGUCCUUCCCAGAGAUCCCUGAGGUAGGGUUGAAUAUCUCCUUGUAAUUACAAUAAUACUGUAUGCAUAUACUUAUCAAUCAACUUAAGUGUUUUAUAAUUGUCCAUUUGUGUAUCUUCCUUAACCAAACCAUCAAUUUCAUAAAGUUAGGGCCUGUAUCUUAUAUUACACAAUUACACAAUUGUAUCUUAUAUUACACAGUUACCCAAGGUACACUUAGUGCAGUGUCUGUCACAUAGUAGGUAUUCAGUAAAUAAUUAUUAAAUAGAUCAUUUAUGUAUACACUAGUAGCUGAGCAAUUUCUUUGAAUUAUGGUGUAGUUUCCUAUCUUUAUGAAAUAAAUGCAGGGUGUGGUAUAUUUUAGAUGACUCCCAAAAAGUCGUUGAUGGAAUGUCAAACAAAAACAAUGCCUCACUUAUGCCACUUCAGAAAGUUAUUUACGUUAAAAGGUUUAUGACACAGUUCACAUAUACUUCAUAUGCACCCUGUUGAGUAGGUAAGCUUUCCAAUGUACUGAUCAUGUUUUUGUUGUCAGAUUUGCUUUGGGUAAUUCCAGGUAGAUUUACAGUGAAAAGGCAAUGUCAAAAGGAAUAAUUAAUCAAAAGGAAGGUGUUGUCUAUCUCCUUUUAGGAAAUCUGUAUUGAAAAUGAAGUUAUUCUGGGUAGGUAAGGAAAUAUUCUUUUUAGAUAUGGAAGCAAUUUCAGUUUUUGCUCUUCAGAAUUCAGUCAAAGGAACUGCUUUCCCUAUAGAAUUCUUAAACCUUUUUACCUGCCUUCAUUUCUCAAUAAGAGUGUAAAUUUAGGAACUUUUCUGGAGAUAAAGUAAAGGUGUUAUGCAAAUCUCUGCAACUCAACAAAUAUAACCAGCAAACUCUUGCUGUUCUUUUUUUGCAGAAUUAUUCUGUGUGAUUUGGACAUUUCUCUCUUACCAUUUAAAACAGUUUCAAAUGUGAUUGCAUUUCCCUCAAUAAUUUAUUAUUAAAAACUUCAAACACUUAGAAAAGUUGAAACAGUUUUAUAAUAAACAUCCAUAUAGUCACCUCUUAGGUUUGUUCUAUAGUUGUUAACAUUGUGCUGUAUUUGUUUUAUCACAUGUUUAUCCAUUCAUCCAUCCAUCAACCCAUCUUAUUUUUUGAUGCAUUUCCAAGGGAGUUGCAGACGUAAGUACACAUAUUGAUUGCAUUUUGCAUGAAAGAUAACCCCCUCAUCUAGGUAAACAGAUUAACAAAACAUAGCUUAUUUUGAUGAUAACGAAAGCAGUUAGUCAGAAUACAUAUUUAUAAUGCCAUUGCAAGUUUGAAUCUCACAUCUGGGGGGGGAAGGCAGGGGGAUGGUUAUAAAGAACUGUGAUUCUAGGGCUUAAAAAAAAAAAGAAAAGGAUGAAAUGAAAGCCUUUUUAGUUUUAGUUUAAAGAAUAACAAGGAUAGGGGCACAUGGGUAGCUCAGUUGGUUAAGCAUCAGACUUCAGCUCAGGUCAUGAUCUCUCAGUCUGAGUUUGAGCCCCGCAUCAGGCUCUGUGCUGACAGCGCAGAGCCUGGAGCCUGCUUCAGAUUCUGUGUCUCCCUCUCUCUCUGCCCCUUUCCCACUUGUACUCUCUCUCAAAAAUAAACAUUAAAAAGAAAUAAAAAAAAAAAGAAUAA